UACGGGAGGCAGCAGUGGGGAAUUUUGGACAAUGGGCGCAAGCCUGAUCCAGCCAUGCCGCGUGCGGGAAGAAGGCCUUCGGGUUGUAAACCGCUUUUGUCAGGGAAGAAACGGUCUGGGCUAAUACCCCGGACUAAUGACGGUACCUGAAGAAUAAGCACCGGCUAACUACGUGCUAGCAGCCGCGGUAAUACGUAGGGUGCAAGCGUUAAUCGGAAUUACUGGGCGUAAAGCGUGCGCAGGCGGCUUUGCAAGACAGAUGUGAAAUCCCCGGGCUUAACCUGGGAACUGCAUUUGUGACUGCAAGGCUGGAGUGCGGCAGAGGGGGAUGGAAUUCCGCGUGUAGCAGUGAAAUGCGUAGAUAUGCGGAGGAACACCGAUGGCGAAGGCAAUCCCCUGGGCCUGCACUGACGNUCAUGCACGAAAGCGUGGGG
rnacentral:rRNA from 1 species